UACAGAGGUCUCAAGCGUUGUUCGGAUUCAUUGGGCGUAAAGGGUGCGUAGGUGGCGCGCUAAGUCAGGUGUGAAAUUUCGGAGCUUAACUCCGAAACUGCAUUUGAUACUGGCGUGCUUGAGGACUGGAGAGGAGACUGGAAUUCAUGGUGUAGCAGUGAAAUGCGUAGAGAUCAUGAGGAAGACCAGUGGCGAAGGCGGGUCUCUGGAUAGUUCCUGACACUGAGACACGAAGGCCAGGGGAGCAAACGGG
rnacentral:rRNA from 1 species